UACGUAGGCAGCGAGCGUUGUUCGGAGUUACUGGGCGUAAAGCGUGCGCAGGCGGUUAUGUAAGACAGUUGUGAAAUCCCCGGGCUCAACCUGGGAACUGCAUCUGUGACUGCAUAGCUAGAGUACGGUAGAGGGGGAUGGAAUUCCGCGUGUAGCAGUGAAAUGCGUAGAUAUGCGGAGGAACACCGAUGGCGAAGGCAAUCCCCUGGACCUGUACUGACGCUCAUGCACGAAAGCGUGGGGAGCAAACGAGG
rnacentral:rRNA from 1 species